rnacentral:lncRNA from 1 species
UCAAAAGGCACUAAAAGUUUGCUAAGAGCCCAGUAUGUCCGUGAUGAAUACUAACACACCAUGGAUCCUGACUUUUGUUUUGGCCCACUAUAUACAAAACAUUGCACUCGCGGUCCAUUUUGGGCGCUUCUAUGGUUACAGUUUUUAAGGACUUAUGUGAAUUUCCCCUUUCCCUGUAGGACUCAUUUCUGAAGCUCGGUUUAGGAAGAGGAAUUGCUAUAGUUUUUUCAUGAUUUUUUUUUAUAACAAAGAUGAAUUGACAUAACCAAAUCAAUAACUAGGUGCAUUGAAACACAUGAAGAGAUGAUGAGGUUUCAGGCUAAACCAUACUCAGUUCUCGCACAAAAAGAAGUAUGUAAUUAAAGCCUGUUUAAAUAAAGUUUUGAAUGUCCCAUCGUCUGUCAUGCGUUUGAUACAGAAAUCAUCAAUACAAAGCUCUGCACGACGGCGGAUGCGGCGGCGCGAACUGGCGGUCGAGGCGAUGUUCCGGCGAGUCCUGUGCACCAAACGCGAAACGGCCGAGCCGAUGAGCACCAGGACAUCAAGUCAAGCAAAGCUAGAACAACAGAAAGAUGGGAGAGACACGUGCCAGUCCAUGGCGAAGGAGCUCACGGCGGGGAGACGGACGGCCGCGGAGAAGAACCGGCGCUGGGGACGACUCCGGCAACGAGAGGCGGCGCGUCUGGGAUCAAACGAUGCGCACGGACGAGGCGCACCUGGCUGCGAGAGUAAUUGGACGGAGGAGGGAUGGUUGUGGCGAGUUUAGCCGGCGAACCGAAGGUGAUCGGCGGCGAUCAAAAGGGUAAAAGGGAGAAAGAGUCGGCGGAGCUCUAGCGCUAGCUCGGGCUUGGACACGCCAGCUCUAGCUCCGGACUCGCCAGCUCUCGCUCGGGCUUGGACACGCAAGCAGCUGCGCGUCCACACGCGAGGAAGCGGCGCGAACGGCGGCGGCGGCCGUCGGCAAGCAGCUGCGUGGCAUUGGCAUGGGGACUGGGGUCUGGGCGUCCGUCCGGCCGUCUGGGGAGGCGGUGGGCAGGAGGAGAAUCGCGGAGCCGCGCUCACCGCUCAUCACUCCCGGGCCGGGACAGGCUGCGAGCGGUAGCGAAGUGGGCGGGCUGUGCGUUGGGCUUCGUCUCUGACGGGCCUGCCUGCGCGAGCUUUCUCCGUGUUCACCGUGCGCUCGUCGUUGGAUUGGAUGGCUGAUCG